GUGGUGUUCGUUUUAUCCUUGGUGUUUUCGAGGCAGGUAUGCUACCGGGAAUUGCAUACUACAUGUCUAGGUGGUACAGGAAAAGCGAAUUGACCUUCCGCCUGUCUCUUUACAUCGUAAUGGCUCCACUCGCCGGCGCUUUUUGUGGACUUCUUGCCUCUGCGAUUUUGAAAUUGUCAAAUGUCGGUAGUCUUCAUGAAUGGAGGAUGAUAUUUGCGAUUGAGGGGAUCAUCACCUGCGGCCUCGCUAUCAUUGGCUUCUUUACUUUGACUGACCGUCCAGCUACCGCUCUUUGGCUGACCCAGG
rnacentral:sRNA from 1 species